rnacentral:piRNA from 1 species
UCCCAGGUCUGGUCAUUGGUGGAGUUGUC